UACGUAGGUGGCGAGCGUUGUCCGGAAUUACUGGGUGUAAAGGGAGCGUAGGCGGGAGUGCAAGUUGAAUGUUAAAUCUAUCGGCUCAACCGAUAGCCGCGUUCAAAACUGCAUUUCUUGAGUGAAGUAGAGGUUGGCGGAAUUCCUAGUGUAGCGGUGAAAUGUGUAGAUAUCAGGAGGAACACCGGCGGCGAAGGCGGCUUGCUGGACGGCAACUGACGUUGAGGCUCGAAAGCGUGGGGAGCAAACAGGAUUAGAUACCCUGGUAGU
rnacentral:rRNA from 1 species